UUUGAUUUGUAUUUCCCUGGGACGAUCAGUGAUGUUGAGCAUCUUUUCAUGUCUGUUGGCCAUGUGUAUGUCUUCUUUGGAAAAAUGUCUAUUCAUGUCUUCUUCCCAUUUUUAAAUUGGUUGGUGACUUUUGUAAGCAUGUGCAUUUUGGAUAUGUAUGACCUGAGUUUGAGUAGCUCUCCUACUCACUAGCUACAUGAUCUUGGGAAAUUUACAUCAUUUCCAAGUCUCAGCUUUAUCCUCUGUACAGUGAUAUUAAGAAUAGUACAUACUUUAUAGGGUUAGUGGAAGUAAUAAAUGAGCUAUAUGUAAAACACUUGGUGAAUGGCUGGUAAAGAAUACUUAUUCAAUAAAUAUUGACUAUCAUCAUCAUCAUUUUUAUUCCAGAUGCUUUUGCCAUUAUUUUCUGGUGGUGGAGGUUGUGGGCAGCUGAGUUUGUUAAUUUGGCUAUCUCUGCCUUUCUGUGUGCUUUCACAAACAUCCCUAGUUCUUGGUGCUGGGAGAAGACAUUAUAAUGGAAAUUGACAAUUCAUAGUAAUUACCACAUUAGUGCCAAUUCAGUCACACUAAUAAGCUGCUGACAGGUGAUGAACAUUACCCUUUAACAAUGAGUCACCUCACUAGUGUUUUAUGACAGUUACUGCAACAAAACAGAAUUUCGAGUACUUAAAUGAGUAAUGUGUUCCAUAAAAAUGUAAAAGAAAAAAAUUAACAACUCUUGGAUCACAGUAUUUUGUGGUAUUUAUCUCUCAUUUAGGAUUAGGAGACCAGAAACGAAGCCAUGUCCCUUUCACUACUGCUGGUAAUGACAUACAUUCCAAAUGUAUAUCUUAAACCACUUAUUCAUCACAAGGCACACAGAAAUGUUCCAUUAUGUACAUAUUUAUAAGUAUUAUAUGUUACAGGAGGUAUCAGGCUUGUUGAAUAUUUACUAAUGAAAGGAUUUUUUUCUAAGAUAAAAUCCAGACAAAGGGGAAUGAGAGGUCAAUUGUAGUUUAAAGACAAAAUUGAAAUAGCCUAUCAACUUUUCAAAAAAAAAAUCAGGCUCUUUUGGAGGAAUCUUUGCUUAUUGUCAAUGACAGUGUCAACAAAACUAUCUAGUUGGGCUCAUUAAAGGAAGUCUCGAAGCCCAUUUUUGCCAUUGUCUAUAUAUAAGCCACUUGGCUUAGUCAGUAGCUAAAUAAUAAUUAUUAUUGUCAGAUAAACCAGGACAAAAGGGAAUAAUAAAGCUAUUAAGCAGUUAUUUGGAAACUUGACUAUUCAAAGGAAGAGAAAGCAGAAUAAAAAACAAUUUUGCUCCUUGUGCCAAGAGAUAUUUUUGUAAUUUGGGCUGGAAAGGUUGGAACCAUCUUAGAAUGUGAAUUACCACAGAGCAAGGCAUCCUACUUCCAAGAGGAAAUGGUGCGUUUGCUUCAAUUUCGCUAGCUUAGGUGGCUUUGGCCAGUUUGGGAGGUGAUGGUUGUAGAGAGAGAAAGGGGGAGAGGGAGAGACAGGAAGAGUUACAAAGCACACUAGCCUGUUGUCUUAUCUGUAAAAACUGACACCUCAAAUUCAAAUUACAGUUCUACUGUUUGCUAUCAGGACUUUUGAAGCACUCUCUGUGCUUCAAUGUAUAAAAUGAUGAAUUAUGAGAAUUAAAUGAGUGAAUACUAGUAAAUUGCUAAGGAAAGUGCCUGGAACAUAGAGAAGCUAUUAUUAUUUUUUUAUUUUUAUCAUCAUCAUUACUAUUAAUUGCUUGAGCAUAAAGAGUGGCAGACUUUCAGGUGAAUGUCUGUUCUUUUCUCUGUCAUUUGCUAAAGUACAUUUUCCUCCUAUUCCUUUGCUCUGUUUUCUUCCUGUGAGCAGCACCUCUUUAGCUAAAACUAGGACUGAUUAACCAGAGUGAAUUCCAUUUUUUCCAGAGUUAUUGAUGUUAAUUCUUAUUGAACAUGGAAUAUCUGAAGCUGUUUAAAAGUGGAAACAUUGGCUCAAGCAAAAGGCUGGAAAGAUAUGUUUCAGAGGCUGAAUAAUAUCUGGCAGCACUGAUGGCAGAGGAGUCCCUGAAGCCCUGGACAGGCAUCACUACAGAGGCCUCGGGGAACAAUUCUUCUCAGAGUAAGAUGAGAAAAAAAAGUCUUGCCCCACCUUUGAGCAUAUGGAAUUUACUUUUAGAGCUCUUGGAAGGAUUUCGUGGUGAUUUAGAGACAUUAGACAUUCGAAUAUUCCAGUUUUAUAAUUACAUUUGCACCUAAAUUGGAUUUCUAUUCGUGUAAAAAAAAUUCACUUUUAAAAUAUUUCUUCAUUUGAUAUUAUAAAGACUGUGGAGAACAAUAGAAAAAAUAAGGGGGAUAUCAGUCAAUAGAUGUGAAUUUGGUUUCAGAAUUUUGACCUAAAUUCAACCUAAAUUGUAUUCCUUUGGGUAAAUUUUCUUUUUACAUGCAACAAUUGCUCAAAAUCGACACUAGGUGGUGCUGGCACCACGUUUCUUACUGAUUUCACUUCUGUCACAUUUAAUGUUUUCCUAAGGUUUCCAACUUGUUUUGAUUUGUUUGUUUUAGCAAUUAUGCUCUGUGUGUGUUCAGGAUUAUUGCAAAAACAAAACAACAGCAGAAAACAAAAAUAACUAUUUCAAACAAUUUUUCUGAGACAGUUUAGAAAGGAAAUUAUGGGUUUAAGAAAAUGUGCUAAUCUUUGAUUAUUGAAUUUUUAGGAUAUCCUAUGUUCUUAGAUACCAAAAGAGGGUGCUCUAAUACAUCUUAAAAAUACACUUCUUAGAAAUACAAAGGCUACAACUUUUUCUUCCAUGCAACAAAGAGUUCUUUUUUCUGUAUAACAGGGGCAACUUUCUUUUUUUUUUUAAUUUAAGAUGGUCAUGCACAAAUGUCUUAUUCAUUAAAAUCAAGUUAAAAACAGUUCUGAAUUCUCUACAGUCUUAGAUUAGAAUUGGCCUUUGAUGUUUUUAAAGUUAAAAGUGCUAUUUUCAAUUGUGACUUUGAGACUUUGAAAAGCCCCUGGCAGUUUGAGCUCAAGUAAAUGGUAUAUGAAUGUGUGGCUUUAUUCUCGAUUUAAUUAAAAAUAUCUUCUAUCACUUCAGAGUUUCCCCUCCACUUAGGAGGAAGAUGAGUCUCAUGAAAAUAUAAUGUGGGUUAACUAAGUGAUUAUUCCUGGUCUCCUGAAGGCAGAAAGGGAAAUAGGGAAAACUUUUCCCAUAAAUUCCCUUGCACGUUGUGUGGGAAACUUGCAUGCACAAAGGGGGUGUUGGCCAGAUAGUCGUGGCAAAGUCCCUGCUGGAGGUGAGAGGCCCUGAGCACAGCUUCUUGAUAUCUCUGAAGUGCUGUCACUGGACCCAAGUUCCAGAUUCAGUGAUAGGCCACAUGUGGGUGAGCAGGGAAGGGAAGGGAGAGACAAUGCUUAAUAUGCAUUAAUAGCUAACACUCAACAUACGUUAAAGACUUUUACCAGGGCUUUAUGUGUGUUGGUUUACUUAAUUCUCUUAACAGCACAACAUAUGAAAAAAAACAGGCCAGACAAAUCCUUGCCCAAGGCCAUACUAGUAAAUGGCAAAGCCAAGUUUCAAACCAAAGCAGGUUGAAUCCAGAAUCUGUGCUUUUAACCACUAACUUGUAUCACUUUUCCAAAGGAGAGCAAACACAGUGUGAACUAUAUGCCGAGUGCUGUUCUAAGUGCCUUACCCACGCACACCCUCUUAAUUCUCAUAAUGCUGAUGUAGGCAUUACUGUCCCCAUUUCACAGCUGAAGAAACUGAGGCACAGGCCAGUAAAAAGUUUAAGAUAAUGAUUGAAGUUGAGGGUGUGCUUAAAGGCAAGAUUUUAAAACAAAGUCUGUUUAAAGAAUACUCAGCAGCCUCAGAAUUGAGCCCUGAACUCCUUUCUCCUUUUUCCUUUGCUUUGGGGUUUUCUUACUUCCAUAGAUGCUGCUGCCUGCAGGCUGUCCCAGAGCCACAUUGCCUCUCUUUGGUGGUUUUGGUCUAGGUAUGGGGAUUAGUUUCUUCUUUUGAUGCUUCCUAUCAUGGCUGGGGUUUUUGAAACCCAUGCCCUUAAAUAGAACAAGAGACACUAACUUCCUCUGCCGAGCACUACAUGCUGAGAUGGUGCUGCUUUUGCACCAAGGUUCUGGGGCAACUUCACAGAAGCCUACCUUCUUCCUAGCUCCAGCCUGCCCUCCGUAGUUACCAUCUUCCUACCAGUCUUCCCCUUUCCCCCCACAGCCAAGAUGGCUUUGGGUUCCCUCCCCAAAUAUUUGUCCCCCCCAUUGGUAAUUGACAAAAUGAACAGUCCCACUCUGCCAGUGAGAACGCCUGCUUUCUUACAGCAAUGGAUGUUUAGGUGGUUGGUCAGGAGAUAAUGUGAGCCUGUGUUGGCGUGGGGGGGAAGGGAGUCUGUUUCAUCAGAGGCUAUAGACCCCAAGGAGAUAGCUUAGUAGUUACUUCACUUAAUUAGCAGAAAAGAGGCCCAGUGGUUUGGAUGAUUCUGUCACCAAGAGUGACAGAAAAUCCAAAAAAGAAAGAAAGAGAGGUUCUUUUUCAUUCACAGGUUCUUUUCAAAUACAAGCAGUCUUUAUUUCUUGGAACUUUGGUUUUCUUACAUGUAGAAUGAAGUUAUUUAGAAGGCCUCUGAAUCUUACCUAACUCUGUUAGUUUCUUAUUUUCAGGCACAUUUUAAGAGCUGCUUUGAGAAAAUAAAAUUGGCUAUCAGCAAUAGUGGAAUGUACACUUCUAACUUGAAAACAAAUUGAUAUAUUGUUUUGUUUGUUUUUAAUUUUAUUUCUGGCUCUUUCAGUUUUCCAGGUAAGAGGAGGCAGACUGGACAUUGUGUGUCCAGGCUUCACAACUGCAUCCUCAACAAAUGAGUGAUAAUAUAAAUUUGCAGUAUUAAAUGAAAAAAUGAUCAGAGAUUCCAUAACAAGUAAUACUAUAUAAAACUUUGACUUACUCAAUUUAAUUAAAUUGCCUUUCUAAAGCUGUUGUCCCUCCCCCGUCACUGUUUCUUCAAGAUAUGGAAAUUGGCAACUCUCCACUGAUACAUGUCUGACUUACCUAUGUCCUGAAACACCGUCUCACACUUAGUAAGGAACCACCUUAUCUGAGUGGCCAGUGACCAUAAGGACAUUACUCUCCCGUUCUUAAGACUUUAUCCCUUGACAUAAUCUAUUACCCCUCACCUCGUCUGGUCCUUAUUCUUAGAUGGCUCUGGAAUUUGAGGUCUUUGGCAAUAAUGGUCAGAAAAGACAGGAGGGGAGACCACAGUGGCUGCCUUUCUAGAUGCUCUUUUCAGAAUAUCUACUGCUGGCCCAGCUGCAAAUAAUAAACAAUACAAUUGGUGGGAUGUAAAGAGCAUUUCAAAUGUGAACGAAGGCUGAGAGGAGGCAGAAAUGCACAUGGUGUAUUUGGAGAUAAGUGGGCUGGUGUGGUUGACACUGAGGUGUAGAGAGUAGUGAGACACUUGGGAAAUAAGAUUGGAAAUGAGAUUCAGAUUCUAGAGAUUUGGCAAAGGCAGGCUGAGGCACCUGGACCCUACCCUGUAGGCAAUAGCAACACCGAAAAGAGAUGGUUUUGCUUGUUGUUUUGAGUAGUGAAGCGGUACGAUGAAAGCUAGCUAACACCUUUAUUUUAAAUUAUAUAAAUGAAAAUAUUAUGCUCUCUUCUCAGUCACAUGAGAAAUGGGUGGCAGCAAAUCAAAACUAGCUGCAUCUGUCAAAAAGAGCUCCACAUCAGAGACCCACAUCCAGAUGCUGUAAGAAACCUCAGUCCAUAUGAAUGACCGCUCAGCAUUCCCAUAUUCCCCCUCCCAGAACAUAUGAUCUAUUUCUUACCAAUCUAACUCAUCCUAGCUAGCGAUCUGCUAACAAAAGCAAUCUUUCCUCAAAUCAAAGUUUCUUCACCCUUUGUUUGUUUUUGGUGUUGCUUAAGAAAUAGCACUUCAAAUGCCCUCAGCCUUAAAAGAAAGCAGGCGGAUGUGGAAAGUAGUCUGAACCACUGUUGUCUCUGCACUGACACUUCCCGCAUUUUAAUAAGCUGGCACUCCACCACGCUCUGGUAGCAUAAGUGAGCAGAAUUUCCAUUUUUACGAAAGAUCUACAGUUGAUUUUCUAAAAAGGAACAAAAUAAUAACCAGAUGGUAGUUGAUAGGCCAACUUUAAAGGCAAGUGUUUGUUUUGAUCUCUUUUCCAAGGGAAAGAAAGUUUGGAUAAUUAGUAGAAGAAUAAGAAAAAAAAAGAAAGAGGAGAAUAAGUGCCUAAGAUAAUGUAUAAAGAGAAACGUGAGGAGGAAUGGAUAGUGGAAAACAGGGGAAAAAAUAGUCGCUUCUAGAAAAAGAGAAAACGAGAGGAAAAAAUUUAACUGCAGAUUUUUCACCAAAUGGUUGCCUAGACAACUUAAUGAGGAGUAGUUCCAUCUCUACUGAAUAGUUGCUGAAACACAUCCUGAAUUUAGAGUCUUUUGGCUCCACGACUAUCAAUUGGAAAACCAUCAUGUUUCAGGCAUAUUAGUUAUGAGUGCCAUAUUUUCUAUAGUAUGCUUUUCUCCUAACAAUAGAAGUAGUUGGUUGCAAUCAAUUUGGUGUGUAAUAGAAGAAUAGGAAGAUUGAAACACAAGCAUGAUGAGAGUUUUGGAGUCAGAUUAGCCUAGGAUGGCAUAUUAAUAUGUGUAACAUCGAGUAACAAACUGACGAAAAAGUAAAUUAGGAAGCAGUUCAAAGCCCACUUGGCAAUGUAAGAUCAUCUUUACAUAUUGCCAAGGUUGCUGUUGAGAAGCAUUUUUCCAUGUAAAGAGUUUGGUACACUUGAGGCUACUUAGUGUAGAGACAAAAAAUGUCACUUUUUACAAGAGAGUUUUUUUUGUUUUUAAUCUUCCAUUAACAUCUGGCUCCUAUGGAUUCUGUUAUCACUGUUUUCUGUUUAAUUAAAUAAUUAUAAAAAAUAAAAAGUGUUUUUAAAUGCU